AGUUGCCCAAUAAUUCCUCUGUCUUUCAAUCUGACACUGAAAGCUUCUGGCAUAAUUAUUUGUUCCUGACAUUGCUUCUCUAUGAAAGAGGGUGUUAGUCCUGUCAAACUGCUGCCCAGUGCCCUGAUGGGAGAUCUUAAGCCCCCCAGCUGCUCGGAGAAGCUGUGACACUCUUAGUCCUCAGGUCACCUCCAGAUUCCAGGAGAACAAACUCCUUCAACUCAUGGCAAGUGGGGGAUAGAUGGAGAAGCAGAGGGAAGAAACAUGAUGAACUUGUUUCUAUCCUUUUUACUUGCCUGUGCUCAGGUGCUGAGGCAGGUGGCUGAGGGCAGCUGCCUGGGCUGUACCCAUGCAGUGCUUACACAUGCACCACCCAUUCAAGUCUUGCCUGAGAAGCAGGCUGGCAAAGGUGUAGGCUGCCUGAGGCCAGUGACCAACUUGUUCUGCAUCUGCACAGAACCUCAGAGAACAGAGUAACCUCAACCAUAGCAGUCAUACCAUCAAUGCAUACAUAAUAUUCAUCUUGCAUAUUUUUUUUUUAAUAACGGACAUCUAUUUGGAUUAACCACAUCAUGGAAGUACCUUCCCAGUCCUUCUGUACACAUGCCUUUUAUUUAAUUUCACAGAUAUUAUAUCAAAUUCCCUGCCAUGACAGCCAAAAGGACAUCA